rnacentral:rRNA from 1 species
CCGCGUGAGUGAUGAAGGCUUUCGGAUCGUAAAACUCUGUUGUUAGGGAAGAACAGGUGCUAGUUGAAUAAUCUGGCACCUUGACGGUACCUAACCAGAAAGCCACGGCUAACUACGUGCCAGCAGCCGCGGUAAUACGUAGGUGGCAAGCGUUAUCCGGAAUUAUUGGGCGUAAAGCGCGCGCAGGUGGUUUCUUAAGUCUGAUGUGAAAGCCCACGGCUCAACCGUGGAGGGUCAUUGGAAACUGGGAGACUUGANUGCAGAAGAGGAAAGUGGAAUUCCAUGUGUAGCGGUGAAAUGCGUAGAGAUAUGGAGGAACACCAGUGGCGAAGGCGACUUUCUGGUCUGUAACUGACACUGAGGCGCGAAAGCGUGGGGAGCAAACAGGAUUAGAUACCCUGGUAGUCCACGCCGUAAACGAUGAGUGCUAAGUGUUAGAGGGUUUCCGCCCUUUAGUGCUGAAGUUAACGCAUUAAGCACUCCGCCUGGGGAGUACGGCCGCAAGGCUGAAACUC